AUUCAUCCUGAGUGUCUUUUUUCUCCGCUAAAAACAACACACGAAGAAGAAGAAGAAAAACAGCAACAGCGCGAACUCUUCAGUCCUCUGGUCUUGUUCUGUUGUUUUUGAUCUGGUUCUCCAUAAUGCAUAACAAUGAGCUGUGACGAAGUGAAGAUGGAGUGUAUUAAAGAGGAGAAUAAUAAUACAUGCCAUCAGUGUGGAAAGAGCCUCUCAUGUAAAGGAAGGCUUGAAGAACACAUGAGAAUUCACACUGGAGAGAAACCGUUCACAUGCCCUCAGUGUGAAAAGAGUUUUUCACGUAAACGAAACUUUAUGCUUCACAUAAGGCUCCACACCGGAGAGAAGCCGUUUCCGUGUCAGCAGUGUGGAAAAAGUUUCUCAUGUCGAGAAACCCUUAAGACUCAUUUAAAGUUUCACAGUAAUGAGAAACCAUUCAAGUGCCCUCAGUGUGAAAAGAGUUUUUUAAUGAAAAGAAUCCUUGAUAGUCACAUGCGAAUUCACACUGAAGAAAAGCCGUUCACAUGUGAUCAGUGCGGAAAAAGUUACAAAUGGUUAAAUAGUCUCAGAUUUCAUAAACUCCUUCACUCUGGAGAAAAGCCGUUUAAGUGUGAUCACUGCGAUAAGAGGUUUGUUCUGGAACCACACCUGAAGGAACACAUGAAAGCUCACAGCCAAGAGAAGCCUUACUUGUGCUCUGUUUGUGGAAAGGGUUUUUCAUGGCUGGGCCGUUUUAAAGACCAUCUGAAAAUACACUCUGGUGUGAAAGAGUAUUUGUGCACAGAUUGUGGUAAAGCCUUUACUACAGCCAGUCAGCUGAAAGUGCACCGCAGGAUCCAUACCGGAGAAAAACCGUACAAGUGUUCACACUGUGACAAGAGUUUUGGACAGUUAGGAACCCUCCAAAACCAUGAGAGAAUUCACACUGGAGAGAAGCUGUUCCAGUGCCAUCCGUGCGGCAGGAGAUUCACCCAUUACGGAACGGCAGCGACUCACACAAAGAAGCAUUGCCCAAAAAAAAAAAGUCAAUAUGACUGGAGAAACAAGACCUUGAGAGCUCAAGCAAUUAAUGAGUGCUGCCUUUGUUGGUGGAUUUUUGCUUUAUUUCACACUAUCCGGUUAUUUGUAAUUCAAAUGUACAAAAAAAAAGUACCCAGGUGAAGCAUGCAGUCAGAAUGAAAAUGACCUGUAGUAGAGUUACAAAUCUUCGUUCAUUUAAGAUAGAUUAUAUAACAAUGAUUGUAAUUAUUUGGAUAUUUAACUUCUUCUGAAGUUGUUUAUGUUUCUUACAGUUCACUGUUGCUCUGAGUUUCAUCAGGUCAGUGAAAUCACUGUUAAAACAUCUGCUGGCAGAGAUGCAUUUUUUAUUAAAAGAAAUAUAAAAAUUUGGUCUCAAAAUGGGUUGGAAAUGAAAAUCUGAAAAUCAAACACAAAUUUACUACAGCAACAACACUGUAAACAGUAAUGAAUGAAAACUGUUUAAAAAAACGAAGGAAAUAAAAAUGUAGACAAAAGUAAAAACAACAAUGAGAAUCCCAGCAUUUCUUUCUUUCUUUGUUUUUAAUACAGGGUUCAUACAACGUGCUUAAAAUUCUUGAAGUAGCCUACUUGAAUUUGCCUUUUUGAAAUAUAAGGCCUGGAAAAUAGCAAUAUUCCUGAAGAGGUACUUAAAAAGUGCUUGGAUUAUUGAAAGACAGUGUAUCUAUAAAAUCAGUGUUUAAUUUUUUGCAGUAAGCACAUAUCUUUUUAAAAUUCAUCAUAUUUCAUUAAAUGUCAUAAAACUAGCGAGAAAACCCGGUAGUAGUACUGACAUGUCGUGUAAACAUGGCUGAAGAUGCGAAAAGAGGAACUGAUGAACCAAAUCAGUUUUACACUGGAUCUGCUCCGAUUGAUUCAAACUCAUGACUUCAGUCAUUCAUUUUCAGCAGUUCACUAGCAAAAGCCAGAAUAAAUUAAAAGAGCCAUUUAUUUGACAUUCAUUUUUGGAAUGGAAACACAAUCUGCGUGAGGAUCUUCCUCUCAGGAUUUAUAAUGGUUGGCAUUUUGGCAAACAAACAUGUUGCAUUUUCACAAUCUUUUAAGUAAACCAGUUACUUGUAAUUGUCUAAUAAAGCCGAACUACUGAGAUGUUUCUAGCAAGUAUCAAACUUCACUGACCAAAAUUAUAAACACAACACUUUUGUUUUUGCUCCCAUUUUUCAUGAGCUGAACUCAAAGAUCUAAGACUUUUUCUAUGUACACAAAAGGCCUAUUUCUCUCAAAUAUUGUUCACAAAUCUGUCUAAAUCUGUGUUAGUGAGCACUUCUCCUUUGCCGAGAUAAUCCAUCCACCUCACAGGUGUGGCAUAUCAAGAUGCUGAUUAGACAGCAUGAUUAUUGCACAGGUGUGCCUUAGGCUGGACACAAUAAAAGGCCACUCUAAAAUGUGCAGUUUUACUGUAUUGGGUCCGAAAACCAGUCAGUAUCUGGUGUGACCACCAUUUGCCUCACGCAGUGCAACACAUCUCCUUCACAUAGAGUUGAUCAGGUUGUUGAUUGUGGCCUGUGGAAUAUUGGUCCACUCCUCUUCAAUGGCUGUGUGAAGUGGCUAGAUAUAUUGGCAGGAACUGGAACACGCUGUCAUAUAUGCCAAUCCAGAGAAUCCCAAACAUGCUCAAUGGGUGACAUGUCCGGUGAGUAUGCUGGCCAUGCAAGAACUGGGAUGUUUUCAGCUUCCAGGAAUUGUGAACAGAUCCUUGCAACAUGGGGCCGUGCAUUAUCAUGCUGCAACAUGAAGUGAUGGUUGUGGAUGAACAGCACAACAAUGGGCCUCAGGCUCUUGUCACUGUAUCUCUGUGCAUUCAAAAUGCCAUCAAUGAAAUGAACCUGUGUUCGUUGUCCAUAACAUACACCUGCCCAUAACCCCACCCCCACCAUGGGGCACUUGAUCCACAGCGCUGACAUCAGCAAACCGCUCACCCACACGACGCCAUACACGCUGUCUGCCCUGUACAGUGAAAACCGGGAUUCAUCCGUGAAGAGAACACCUCUCCAAAGUGCCAGACACCAUUGAAGCAUUUGCCCACUAAAGUCAGUUACGACGACGAACUGCAGUCAGGUCGAGACCCUAGAUGAGCUUCUUUGAGACGGUUUCUGACAGUUUGUGCAGAAAUUCUUUGGUUAUGCAAACCGAUUGUUGCAGCAGCUGUCCGGGUGGCUGGUCUCAGACAAUCUUGGAGGUGAAGAUGCUGGAUGUGGAGGUCCUGGGCUGGUGUGGUUACACUUGGUCUGCGGUUGUGAUGGCCAGUUUGAUGUACUGCCAAAUUCUCUGAAACGCCUUUGGAGACGGCUUAUGGUAGAGAAAUGAACAUUCAAUUCACGGGCAACAGCUCUGGUGGACAUUCCUGCAGUCAGCAUGCCACCUGCACGCUCCCUCAAAACUUGCGACAUCUGUGGCAUUGUGCUGUGUGAUAAAACUGCACAUUUUAGAGUGGCCUUUUAUUGUGGCCAGCCUAAGACACACUUGUGUAAUAAUCAUGCUGUCUAAUCAGCAUCUCGGUGUAGUAGAUGUUCCCAACUGCAGAGUCAAACACGUAAAAGUACUUGAAGGGAAGAAUUUUACCCCUGCAUGAUACCCUUUUCAUCAUCUCAUAAUGUCAAAUUUCUUGGGUUUAAUCAGUAAAGUCUGGUAGAAGAAUAAAAUAAUAUACGGCUGUUAAAGGAUUACUCCACUUCCAGAAAAAAAAUCCCUGAUAAUUUACUCACCUCCAUGUCAUGCAAGAUAUUCUUGUCUUUUUUUCUUCAGUCGCAAAGAAAUGAUGUUUUUGAGGAAAACGUUCCAGAAUUUUUCUCCAUAUAGUAUACUUAAAUGGUGCUUCAUGGAUUGAAGGUUAAAAAUGCUGUUUCAGUGCAGCUUCUAAAUGAUCCCAGCCGUGGAAUAAGGGUCUUAUCUAGCUCAGCAAUCAGUAAGUGCUGAUUGCAUUCCCAAGUGGAGAAUGUAGUUGUUUGAUUGAGUGUUUUGUGUUUGUGCAGAAUGAAAAUGACAACUGGUAAAGUAUUUAUUUUUGUUCAUACACUUGCAUUACUGUAAUCAUCUGGAUGUUUAACUUUGUUCUGUAUUUGAGCUGCUUUGAGAUUAAUCGACAUCACUGUUGAAAUAUCCACUUUUUAUU